UUUCCAGUUCCUCGGAUGCUGCCUGACCUGUUGCGCUUUUCUAGCACCACUCUAAUCUUGACCUUGAUCUGCUACAUCUACCCAAACUGGACUCCUUACUCCUUUUCAGUUUAAAGUAACUCUACUUUCCAACUUAUGGUUUUGAGAGAAUAUUGUGCAUCAUGGUUCAGGUAUAGACCAUCCCAACGGUACAGACCCCACUUUCACCAGGCCUGAUUUCCAUGUCCCACAAACCAGGACCCACUUCUCCUCCAGAAGGGCUUUGAGCUAUUUAUCCAAUUUGCUAAUGUUAGUGCCCUCUGGUAAUAAUCAUUACCAAUGAGGUUCUGUUCUUCAAUUUGGUGUCCAUUUCCUCACAUUCUUGAAGCAAAUCCAUUUCCAUGUCCUGCCCUUGACAUUUAGUGUCAGAGAGAUCACCAACACAUUCAGCCCAUUGUUUCAGCCCUGGUCAAAAGCAACCAUCUAACUAUUCUAAUCUCAUGUUCCAGCACUUGGCCCAUAGUCUUGCAUACCUUAGCAUUGCAAGUGCACAGCUAAAUACUUCUUAAUUGUUGUGACGGAUUUUCCCUGCACCACCCUUACAGAUAGUAAGUUCCAGAUUCCAGCUUGUGCUUAACUGACUGCCACAACUGGAUCCUCUGCCUCCCAUUGUAAGUUCCUGAGACCUGGCACCAGGCAAGCAGCACGGCUCUCUAGGACCGAUCCUCUUGUCUACAUAGGACAGUGUCUAUACCCCUCACUAUACUAUCCCUUGCUCCCACUAAUUUCUUGGUGCUGUCCCCACUUGAAUGGCAUCCUGUACCAUGGUGCCAUGUUAGCUAGCUCAUUCACUCUGCAGCCUCCAGUCUCAUCCACGCAAGUUUAAAGAACCUCAAACCUGAUAGACAGUGGCAGAGCCUUCUACGCCUGCAGUACUACCUUCUGAAUCCCCUUACCUGCUUCACUUGCAGUCACACAUUCCUGUCUCUGACCACUGAGCAAAUCAGACCCAAUCUUAAAUGAGGCAAAAGCAGAAAUUGCUGGUGAAACUCAACAGGUCUCGUGACACCUGUGGGA